rnacentral:ncRNA from 1 species
AAACUGAAGACAUUCACAGCUCGUAUAAAUCCGGGAAUAAGGCCCGGAAGUUUCUACCCGGGAACCGUAAAUUUCCGGACUACGGAGAAAGUGAAGACGCAA